GGAAGAGACACAAUAUAAACACGGCGACACACCAAGGUAGUCAGAGGUGAGACAGCGGGCGACCCGCGGCGUGCCGGGGCCUCCAUCACAACAAUGUUGCGGACGGUGUGGCGGUGGGUGUUGGAGGUGUGUGUUGCAGGUGUGGUGGCCGGGCAGCGAGCAGGGAACCCCUUGCUCAUCUUGGGGCACCUGCUUCAAGGACUCGACCCAGCCGGCCCGCCCAGGUUCGACGAGGACGACGAUGAUGACCGCGACGAGGAUUACCUGGACGACGAGGACACCAGCCCCUUCAGCUUCUUCGGGUGACGUGUGACGUGUCUCCACAGGUGCACCUGGAGUGUGGCUCCUCACUCCCCACAUCACACAUUUACAUCGUAAACCGUCUGAUGUGUUUAUAGUAUAAUGUGUUCAUUAUAACUGCAUCAUAGUUACAUUUU